UUCAGUAUGGCAGAUUAGUGCCAUGAAUUUAAGAUUCAUUAAUAAAUAAUUUUAUUUUGCUGAAA
rnacentral:tRNA from 1 species